rnacentral:lncRNA from 1 species
AUUGUAGGUUGUGACUAAUGCCAAGGUACGUCUCCUGACCUGUGCGUGUUUAGGCAGCCUAUAGUAUAAUGGUUUACUAAUCGGGCCUUAGUGGGGUAGAACUUGCUGAGACAUAGUCUCAUCCCGGUUGUGGGACAUCAUUUCAAGCCCAUAUAUGAACCCAAGGAGGAGGAAUUGGAGAAGGAGAACACUGAAGUGAAACGUGGGGAGGAGAAAGAUUUUUGAAGAAGAAGAUGAUCCAGAAAGGGAUCCU